rnacentral:rRNA from 1 species
AUAGAACGCUGGCGGCAGGCUUAACACAUGCAAGUCGAGCGGGGGAAGGUAGCUUGCUACCGGACCUAGCGGCGGACGGGUGAGUAAUGCUUAGGAAUCUGCCUAUUAGUGGGGGACAACAUCUCGAAAGGGAUGCUAAUACCGCAUACGUCCUACGGGAGAAAGCAGGGGAUCUUCGGACCUUGCGCUAAUAGAUGAGCCUAAGUCGGAUUAGCUAGUUGGUGGGGUAAAGGCCUACCAAGGCGACGAUCUGUAGCGGGUCUGAGAGGAUGAUCCGCCACACGGGGACUGAGACACGGCCCAGACACCUACGGGAGGCAGCAGUGGGGAAUAUUGGACAAUGGGGGGAACCCUGAUCCAGCCAUGCCGCGUGUGUGAAGAAGGCCUUAUGGUUGUAAAGCACUUUAAGCGAGGAGGAGGCUACUCUAGUUAAUACCUAGGGAUAGUGGACGUUACUCGCAGAAUAAGCACCGGCUAACUCUGUGCCAGCCGCCGCCGUAA